rnacentral:rRNA from 1 species
CCCGAGCUAACGCGUUAAAUCGACCGCCUGGGGAGUACGGCCGCAAGGUUAAAACUCAAAUGAAUUGACGGGGGCCCGCACCAGCGGUGGAGCAUGUGGUUUAAUUCGAUGCAACGCGAAGAACCUUACCUACUCUUGACAUCCAGAGAAUUUAGCAGAGAUGCUUUAGUGCCUUCGGGAACUCUGAGACAGGUGCUGCAUGGCCGUUGUCAGCUCGUGUUGUGAAAUGUUGGGUUAAGUCCCGCAACGAGCGCAACCCUUAUCCUUUGUUGCCCGCACGUUAUGGUGGGAACUCAAAGGAGACUGCCGGUGAUAAACCGGAGGAAGGUGGGGAUGACGUCAAGUCAUCAUGGCCCUUACGAGUAGGGCUACACACGUGCUACAAUGGCGUAUACAAAGAGAAGCGACCUCGCGAGAGCAAGCGGAACUCAUAAAGUACGUCGUAGUCCGGAUUGGAGUCUGCAACUCGACUCCAUGAAGUCGGAAUCGCUAGUAAUCGUAGAUCAGAAUGCUACGGUGAAUACGUUCCCGGGCCUUGUACACACCGCCCGUCACACCAUGGGAGUGGGUUGCAAAAGAAGUAGGUAGCUUAACCUUGGGGGGGGCGUUUACCACUUUGUGAUUCAUGACUGGGGUGAAGUCGUAACAAGGUAACCA